rnacentral:rRNA from 1 species
UACGUAGGGUGCAGGCGUUAAUCGGAAUUACUGGGCGUAAAGCGUGCGCAGGCGGUUUUGUAAGCCAGAUGUGAAAUCCCCGGGCUUAACCUGGGAAUGGCAUUUGGGACUGCAAGGCUCGAGUGCGGCAGAGGAGACUGGAAUUCCUGGUGUAGCAGUGAAAUGCGUAGAUAUCAGGAGGAACACCGAUGGCGAAGGCAGGUCUCUGGGCUGACACUGACGCUCAUGCACGAAAGCGUGGGGAGCAAACAGG